rnacentral:rRNA from 1 species
UACGUAGGGUGCGGGCGUAAUCGGAAUUACUGGGCGUAAAGCGUGCGCAGGCGGCCUCUUAAGUCAGAUGUGAAAUCCCCGGGCUUAACCUGGGAACUGCGUUUGAAACUGGGAGGCUAGAGUGUGGAAGAGGGGGGUGGAAUUCCAGGUGUAGCAGUGAAAUGCGUAGAGAUCUGGAGGAACACCGAUGGCGAAGGCAAUCCCCUGGGCCUGCACUGACGCUCAUGCACGAAAGCGUGGGGAGCAAACGGG